AGAGUUUGAUCCUGGCUCAGGAUGAACGCUAGCGGCAGGCCUAAUACAUGCAAGUCGAACGGUAAAUGUCCCUUCGGGGAUAUGAGAGUGGCGCACGGGUGCGUAACGCGUAUGCAACCCACCCGCUGUCGGGGGAUAGCCCAUAGAAAUGUGAAUUAAUACCCCAUGAGGAGGAGGUGAGGCAUCUCACUUUUUCAAAACUUCGGUGACGGCGGACGGGCAUGCGUGCCAUUAGAUAGUUGGCGGGGUAACGGCCCACCAAGUCGACGAUGGCUAGGGGAUCUGAGAGGACGGUCCCCCACACUGGUACUGAGACACGGACCAGACUCCUACGGGAGGCAGCAGUAAGGGAUAUUGGUCAAUGGGGGGAACCCUGAACCAGCCAUGCCGCGUGAGGGAGUAAGGCCCUACGGGUUGUAAACCUCUUUUGCCGGGGGAUAAGGACACCUACGUGUAGGUGUUUGAAGGUACCCGGAGAAUAAGCAUCGGCUAACUCCGUGCC
rnacentral:rRNA from 1 species